rnacentral:rRNA from 1 species
CGGAUCAGAAUGCCGCGGUGAAUACGUUCCCGGGUCUUGUACACACCGCCCGUCACACCAUGGGAGUCGGAAAUGCCCGAAGCCGGUGGCCUAACCGAUAAGGGAGGAGCCGUCGAAGGCAGGUCUGAUGACUGGGGUGAAGUCGUAACAAGGUAGC